rnacentral:rRNA from 1 species
AUGCCUGGGGCUGGCCACGCUCCUUGCACACAUCAACAACGUCUACAUAUGUCUUUAGCAAAGCUGCUGAUGAAACAUGCCCUUUUUAGAAAGACAACACUGCUUUGCACCACGAACAGAGGCAUCCAGCAUCCCUUGUGCAGUGCGCAUAGCGACCGCCAUGUAUCCCCACGCACCGGAGUCAUUUACCUGUACAACAGCAACGCUAAAAAAGAACUACAGAAAUCACAAACCACCAAGCCGACAGAAGAAGAAGGACGACGGAAACGCAAACCAACCAUCAGACGCACCCCAGAACAUCCCUCGCAAGAAAUUGAUGCAGAGGAAGAAGAAACCGGCAACAGCAGACCCGCCGCCCACCCCUGGCGAAGAGGCAGGCAUCUGACCCCCUCCCUCCAAAGAGGCAGGCACCGAACACGGAGCCGAAGACCACCAAACACCCCGCUCACCAAACACACCACCGCCGCCAAGUCCAAAGGAUAA